UAAAACACUGGCUGAUUCUCCGAAUAAUGCGAAUGGCCCCAACGAUCCCAUAGUUACAGGCUGCUGCGCUCCAAGGCCAACCAGGGCAUGUCCAAUGCCCUGUAUUUCUUCACCAGAGCCUGCACGGAGGAGGAGUUCCAUCAUUAUGGUCUUGCAUUAGAUAUAUAUACCCACUUUACUUCUCCAAUAAGAUAUUCAGAUAUUGUAGUACACUGCUUGUUAAUGGCAGCCAUUUCAAAAGAAAAGAAAAUGAAAAUUAAGGGAAAUUUGUUCAGCAACAAAGAUCUUGAGGAAUUAUGCGGACAUAUCAACAAGAGAAACCAAAUGUUCUCAGGUAACUUUUAUGGAAUUGGAAGAUUUGACAGAUUAUUGGUUCCCACACCUCAAAAGGUGGAAAUAUAAAGAUUCACUGUAAUCCCAGCAUUUUGGGAGGCUGAGACAGACAUAUCACUUGAGGUCAGAAGUUUGAGACAAGCCUGGCCAAUAUGGCAGCACAGCAUUCACAGAAGCAGUCUACUGAACUCUUCCAGUGCACGUACUUCAAAGACAAAGACCCUGACACUGAGGAGCGUUGCCUAUCUGAUGGAGUUAUUUAUUCAAUUUGAACAAAUGGUGUGCUUGUAUUUAUACCAAGGUUUGGGAUUAAAGGUGCUGCUUAUCUAAAAACUAAAAAUGGUUUAGUCAUCUCAUGUGGCCCAGACAGCUGUUCUAAAUGGAAACCAGGAUCCCUUCAACGAUUUCAAAACAAAAUUACCUCUACUACAACAGAUGGGGAAUCUGUUACAUUCCAUUUGUUUGACCAUGUAACUGUAAGUCUUUAUUUCUAUAAAGUAUUAUUAAUAUUUUAAAUGUAAAGAACAAAUAGUAUGAUUUAGUAAUGUAUUUUCUUCUCUAUGCUAGGUAAGAAUAUCUAUACAGGUCUCACGCUGCCAUUCUGAUACCAUCAGACUUGAAAUAAUAAGUAACAACCAUACAAGAUCCCAAAUACAGAACUUUUUCACCAGAGUUCCCCCUUGCUGAAGAGUGAGUUAGUGAAAGAAGCAACUAAAUCUGUGGAAGAAGCUCAGCUUGCCCAAGAAGUCAAAGUGUAAACAUCAUUCAGGAAGAAUAUCAAGAAUAUUGCCAAACAAAGGGAAGGAGCCUAACACACUUCUAGAGGAGAUAAAGGACCUAGCUCUCCUGGAUGUUUCAAACAAUUAUGGAAUAUGAAAGACUCUUACUUCACUAGGAGCUGUCACAUGUGAAUGUUUUACAGUCUUUUCAAACCUGACAUUUAAUGUGUGUCACUCUAGUCGAUCAGGACUGGGUAGCUAUUUCACAUACAUGUAAAAUGUUCUCAUUCAUUAAACUUGCAUUAAAUGAAGUAUAAUUAGGGCACUUUGUUAACUGAGUUUUCAGUAAUGAGUGGACAGUAAGUGGUGGCUCUGCAGCUUGCUGGCCCCUUUUUAAUAAUUUUAA